UACGGGGGGUGCAAGCGUUAUCCGGAUUCACUGGGUUUAAAGGGUGCGUAGGUGGGCAGGUAAGUCAGUGGUGAAAUCUCCGAGCUUAACUCGGAAACUGCCGUUGAUACUAUUUGUCUUGAAUACUGUGGAGGUAAGCGGAAUAUGUCAUGUAGCGGUGAAAUGCUUAGAUAUGACAUAGAACACCAAUUGCGAAGGCAGCUUACUACACAACGAUUGACGCUGAGGCACGAAAGCGUGGGGAUCAAACAGG
rnacentral:rRNA from 1 species